GACGAACGCUGGCGGCGGGCUUAACACAUGCAAGUCGAACGGAAAGGCCCUGCUUGUGUGCGGUUCUCGAGUGGCGAACGGGUGAGUAACACGUGAGUAUCCUGCCCUUGACUUUGGUAUAACUUCAGGAAACUGGGGCUAAUACCGGACAGGAGCUCCUGCUGCGUGGAGGGGGGUGGAACGUCUCGGCGGUUGGGGAUGGACUCGCGGCUGAUCAGCUUGUUGGUGGGGUAGUGGCUUACCAAGGCUUUGACGGGUAGCCGGCCUGAGAGGGUGACCGGCCACAUUGGGACUGAGAUACGGCCCAGACUCCUACGGGAGGCAGCAGUGGGGAAUAUUGCACAAUGGGCGGAAGCCUGAUGCAGCAACGCCGCGUGCGGGAUGACGGUCUUCGGGUUGUAAACCGCUUUCGCCUGUGACGAAGCGUGAGUGACGGUAAUGGGUAAAGAAGCACCGGCUAACUACGUG
rnacentral:rRNA from 1 species